rnacentral:sRNA from 1 species
UUCUAGCCGUGAUGGAAGUGGAAAGCCUUUUUUAUGAAAUUGUAUUUUUUCUUGGGUAAAAAGAGCGACCGCAGGAAGCUCCUUUUUUGCCUUAGAAAAAAACAAUUUUAGGAAAAAGCUUGAAACGUACAGCGCGAUUGGCU